CUCCCACGUAUCAGUCUGGCUCCCUCUGCUCGCAGCCACCUCUCAAGUCAAACAACAUACUGCCAGCAGCCCGCCCCGGCUCCGCUACCCAGGGUGGACAUGGAACUUGCCUCCCUAAUGAUGCCUUCCCCAGGCUGCCUGCCUGCGUUAUGAGUCCAGACUGCCCUGCAGUAACCCAAGACGAACACUUUCUCUAGCCAUCUGGAGAGCUCCUGGCUUCUCUGCCUGUAUCUCAUCACUGUCUGAAGAGACAGCACUGCUAGAAAUCAAGCCAUUCUCAGAUCUACUCUCUAAUCCCCUUCUGUUAGCUGAUUUUCAGUCUAUUUGCUUUCGCAUUAGAUAAUAGCCUUAGAGAAAACAAUUAUCAUUUUCUUCCCCCCACCCUUAUUUUUCCACUUCUCCUACCGUACUCCAUUAAGGAAGGUCUCUUUUUUAUGUAAUUUUUUUUAAAGAGAAGAAUAUCAGGAUACUUUGGGGAAGCCCCCCCAAGAAGCUAGGAGGAAAAGAAUUCCAGAUAUUUCGAGUAUCAAUUAAUAAACACCAUGCAAAAAAAUACUCAAAUAAUAACCAUUAAUAUAUGGGUCAGAUAUAAUCAGAAAUGGCUUGCAAUGAUCUAGUACAAUGAAAUCCAUUUUAAAAUACUAUGACACAGAAACAACUGGAAAUAAUAUUUUAUUGAAAGCAAAAUUGGAAAUCUUAUUUUGGGUUAUCUUAUUCCUGACAGAGCUUAAACUUGUAGCUUAUAUUGGUACAAAAUUGAAAAAAAAAUUUCCUCAUGUGCUCUUUACUAACAUGGUUGUAAAUGAAAAAUUGCCUAAGAAAAGACUCAGAAGCUCAUAAGUAGAGAGCAUAAAAAAAAUAAAGUAUGAAGAAAAAUUGAUAUCUUUUUUUGUGUAACUAAUUUAAAAACCAGUUGCCUAAAUACUUAAUGCUCAGGGGGGGAAAAAAAAACCCCUGCCUCCUUCCUUUCAAAUAAUACAGCUUAACAGUUCUCCAGCAUUUAUAGGCUCUACUAAUUUUUAGCAAUUCAUUUACAGAAAACAAUCAUUGUGCAUUCUGCCCUCUCCUAGGGACAUCUGACUAAUGAAUUGUAAUGGACUAAUGAAUUGUAAUGUUAAAUCCUGGUAUCUGAUAUUAUGAUGCUUUUCAAUUUGAAUUCAGAUUUUUUUCUAGUUUCAAAUGCCAUAGCAAUUUCUGAAUUAAGUAAUGUCUUUAUAUUCAAAUAUUCCUUCACCUCAAAGGUAUCUGCAUAGUCUGAAUAGCAGAAGAACUUAAAAUGGUAAAGUUCUAAAUUAUGUGCAUUACAAUAAUGUCUACUGUGUUGGAAGACACUAUUGUAAUGCAAUAUGAUGUCAAUCCUCACUGUGAUUCAGCUUAAGGAAUCAAAAGUUAAUUCAAACUUCCAACCUUUUUUUACUGCCACCUUCUCAGAAAGUUAAUGAAAUUAAUAUAUGGUACGUAGAAUACACAUGCUUAUUUCAAAUGGAUGAAAUAAUAUCUGGAUAAUAAAUAUAUUUGUUAAAAAUAAUAUUUAAAGUGCUUUUUAAAGUUAGAAUACUAGGCACUUAAAAUUUAAAAAACAAAUUCAUCAUGUAAAAAAUUCUGAAAUAUGCACAUUAAACUUGAUUUCACUUGAGGUAAAUUUUGAUGUAGGAUUGUACAAUUAUAACAGAAACUUUGAAUUUUAAAAUGCAUUACUGAAAAAUUAUUUGGAAAAAUCAAAAGUUUUAAGUUAAUGCUAUAUUCAAUGCCAAGAAAUGUUUUUGUUACAUUUAAUGGUUAUAAAAAUACUCUGUUUUGCUGGUCAUACUUCUGGAAAAAUAAUAAACAGUGUUUUUCCCCCUCCCUAUUUUAUAGCCUUUU